rnacentral:rRNA from 1 species
CCGGCGCACGGGUGAGUAACACGUAUGCAAUCCACCUGUAACAGGGGGAUAACCCGGAGAAAUCCGGACUAAUACCCAUAAUAUGGGCGCUCCGCAUGGAGAGUUCAUUAAAGAGAGCAAUUUUGGUUACAGACGAGCAUGCGCUCCAUUAGCCAGUUGGCGGGGUAACGGCCCACCAAGGCGACGAUGGAUAGGGGUUCUGAGAGGAAGGUCCCCCACAUUGGAACUGAGACACGGUCCAA